CUACGGGCCGCAGCAGUGAGGAAUUUUGCGCAAUGGGGGAAACCCUGACGCAGCAACGCCGCGUGAGCGAAGAAGGCCUUCGGGUCGUAAAGCUCUGUCAAGUGGGAAAAAAAUUCUUUGAUGAACAGUCAAAGGACUUGAUGGUACCACUGGAGGAAGCACCGGCUAACUCCGUGCCAGCAGCCGCGGUAAUACGGAGGGUGCAAGCGUUGUUCGGAAUUACUGGGCGUAAAGAGCGUGUAGGCGGUUUGACAAGUCAGAUGUGAAAGCCCCGGGCUCAACCCGGGAAGUGCAUUUGAAACUGUUUCACUAGAGUAUGGGAGAGGAGAUUGGAAUUCCUGGUGUAGAGGUGAAAUUCGUAGAUAUCAGGAGGAACACCCGUGGCGAAGGCGAUUCUCUGGACCAAUACUGACGCUGAGACGCGAAAGCGUGGGGAGCAAACAGGAUUAGAUACCCUCGUAGUC
rnacentral:rRNA from 1 species